rnacentral:tRNA from 1 species
GCCGAAGUGGCGGAAUGGUAUACGCGGCGGUCUCAAAAACCGCUGGAGGCAGACUCCUUGUGGGUUCGAAUCCCACCUUCGGCAUCA